rnacentral:rRNA from 1 species
AUGAACGCUGGCGGCGCGCCUAACACAUGCAAGUCGAACGGCACCUGCCCUCGGGCAGAAGCGAGUGGCGAACGGCUGAGUAACACGUGGAGAACCUGCCCCCUCCCCCGGGAUAGCCGCCCGAAAGGACGGGUAAUACCGGAUACCCCGGGGUGCCGCAUGGCACCCCGGCUAAAGCCCCGACGGGAGGGGAUGGCUCCGCGGCCCAUCAGGUAGACGGCGGGGUGACGGCCCACCGUGCCGACAACGGGUAGCCGGGUUGAGAGACCGACCGGCCAGAUUGGGACUGAGACACGGCCCAGACUCCUACGGGAGGCAGCAGUGGGGAAUCUUGCGCAAUGGGGGGAACCCUGACGCAGCGACGCCGCGUGCGGGACGGAGGCCUUCGGGUCGUAAACCGCUUUCAGCAGGGAAGAGUCAAGACUGUACCUGCAGAAGAAGCCCCGGCUAACUACGUGCCAGCAGCCGCGGUAAUACGUAGGGGGCGAGCGUUAUCCGGAUUCAUUGGGCGUAAAGCGCGCGUAGGCGGCCCGGCAGGCCGGGGGUCGAAGCGGGGGGCUCAACCCCCCGAAGCCCCCGGAACCUCCGCGGCUUGGGUCCGGUAGGGGAGGGUGGAACACCCGGUGUAGCGGUGGAAUGCGCAGAUAUCGGGUGGAACACCGGUGGCGAAGGCGGCCCUCUGGGCCGAGACCGACGCUGAGGCGCGAAAGCUGGGGGAGCGAACAGGAUUAGAUACCCUGGUAGUCCACACCGUAAACGAUGAUUACUAGGUGUUGGAGGAUUGACCCCUUCAGUGCCGCAGUUAACACAAUAAGUAAUCCACCUGGGGAGUACGACCGCAAGGUUGAAACUCAAAGGAAUUGACGGGGGCCCGCACAAGCAGUGGAGUAUGUGGUUUAAUUCGAAGCAACGCGAAGAACCUUACCAGGUCUUGACAUCCGAUGCAUAGUGCAGAGAUGCAUGAAGUCCUUCGGGACAUCGAGACAGGUGGUGCAUGGUUGUCGUCAGCUCGUGUCGUGAGAUGUUGGGUUAAGUCCCGCAACGAGCGCAACCCCCGCCGCGUGUUGCCAUCGGGUGAUGCCGGGAACCCACGCGGGACCGCCGCCGUCAAGGCGGAGGAGGGCGGGGACGACGUCAAGUCAUCAUGCCCCUUAUGCCCUGGGCUGCACACGUGCUACAAUGGCCGGUACAGAGGGAUGCCACCCCGCGAGGGGGAGCGGAUCCCGGAAAGCCGGCCCCAGUUCGGAUUGGGGGCUGCAACCCGCCCCCAUGAAGUCGGAGUUGCUAGUAAUCGCGGAUCAGCAUGCCGCGGUGAAUGCGUUCCCGGGCCUUGUACACACCGCCCGUCACACCACCCGAGUCGUCUGCACCCGAAGUCGCCGGCCCAACCUUAUCUGGGGGGAGGCGCCGAAGGUGUGGAGGGUGAGGGGGGUG